CCGCCCUGGUGUCCUUUGUGCAGAGUGCGG
rnacentral:piRNA from 1 species